rnacentral:rRNA from 1 species
GCUUAAUACAUGCAAGUCGAACGGCAGCACGGGAGCAAUCCUGGUGGCGAGUGGCGAACGGGUGAGUAAUACAUCGGAACGUGCCCUGUCGUGGGGGAUAACUAGUCGAAAGAUUAGCUAAUACCGCAUACGACCUGAGGGUGAAAGCGGGGGACCGCAAGGCCUCGCGCGAUAGGAGCGGCCGAUGUCUGAUUAGCUAGUUGGUGGGGUAAGAGCCUACCAAGGCGACGAUCAGUAGCUGGUCUGAGAGGACGAUCAGCCACACUGGAACUGAGACACGGCCCAGACUCCUACGGGAGGCAGCAGUGGGGAAUUUUGGACAAUGGGGGCAACCCUGAUCCAGCAAUGCCGCGUGUGUGAAGAAGGCCUUCGGGUUGUAAAGCACUUUUGUCCGGAAAGAAAUCGCGCUGGUUAAUACCUGGCGUGGAUGACGGUACCGGAAGAAUAAGCACCGGCUAACUACGUGCCAGCAGCCGCGGUAAUACGUAGGGUGCGAGCGUUAAUCGGAAUUACUGGGCGUAAAGCGUGCGCAGGCGGUUUUGUAAGUCUGUCGUGAAAGCCCCCGGGCUCAACCUGGGAAUUGCGAUGGAGACUGCAAGGCUUGAAUCUGGCAGAGGGGGGUAGAAUUCCACGUGUAGCA